GGUGCUGAAGUAACAAAUGCCCUGCUUCCAGGAAAAGCCUCUAAGCAUCAGGUAACAUUAAAUCGUACCCCAAACCGACACAGGUGGUCAGGUAGAGAAUACCAAGGCGCUUGAGAGAACUCGGGUGAAGGAACUAGGCAAAAUGGUGCCGUAACUUCGGGAGAAGGCACGCUGGUGUGUAGGUGAAGUCCCUGCGGAUGGAGCUGAGACCAGUCGAAGAUACCAGCUGGCUGCAACUGUUUAUUAAAAACACAGCACUGUGCAAACACGAAAGUGGACGUAUACGGUGUGACGCCUGCCCGGUGCCGGAAGGUUAAUUGAUGGGGUUAUCCGUAAGGAGAAGCUCUUGAUCGAAGCCCCGGUAAACGGCGGCCGUAACUAUAACGGUCCUAAGGUAGCGAAAUUCCUUGUCGGGUAAGUUCCGACCUGCACGAAUGGCGUAAUGAUGGCCAGGCUGUCUCCACCCGAGACUCAGUGAAAUUGAACUCGCUGUGAAGAUGCAGUGUACCCGCGGCAAGACGGAAAGACCCCGUGAACCUUUACUAUAGCUUGACACUGAACAUUGAGCCUUGAUGUGUAGGAUAGGUGGGAGGCUUUGAAGCGUGGACGCCAGUCUGCGUGGAGCCAACCUUGAAAUACCACCCUUUAAUGUUUGAUGUUCUAACGUAGGCCCCUGACCGGGGUUGCGGACAGUGUCUGGUGGGUAGUUUGACUGGGGCGGUCUCCUCCCAAAGAGUAACGGAGGAGCACGAAGGUUAGCUAAUCCUGGUCGGACAUCAGGAGGUUAGUGCAAUGGCAUAAGCUAGCUUGACUGCGAGCGUGACGGCGCGAGCAGGUGCGAAAGCAGGUCAUAGUGAUCCGGUGGUUCUGAAUGGAAGGGCCAUCGCUCAACGGAUAAAAGGUACUCCGGGGAUAACAGGCUGAUACCGCCCAAGAGUUCAUAUCGACGGCGGUGUUUGGCACCUCGAUGUCGGCUCAUCACAUCCUGGGGCUGAAGUAGGUCCCAAGGGUAUGGCUGUUCGCCAUUUAAAGUGGUACGCGAGCUGGGUUUAGAACGUCGUGAGACAGUUCGGUCCCUAUCUGCCGUGGGCGCUGGAGAAUUGAGGGGGGCUGCUCCUAGUACGAGAGGACCGGAGUGGACGCAUCACUGGUGUUCGGGUUGUCAUGCCAAUGGCACUGCCCGGUAGCUAAAUGCGGAAGAGAUAAGUGCUGAAAGCAUCUAAGCACGAAACUUGCCCCGAGAUGAGUUCUCCCUGAGACUUUAAGUCUCCUGAAGGAACGUUGAAGACGACGACGUUGAUAGGCCGGGUGUGUAAGCGCAGCGAUGCGUUGAGCUAACCGGUACUAAUGAACCGUGAGGCUUAACCUU
rnacentral:rRNA from 1 species